rnacentral:tRNA from 1 species
GAGAAUGUGGCUCAGUGGUAGAGCACUUACCUAGAAUUUAGAAGCACUGGGUUCCUUCCCCAGUAUUGCCA